UUUAUGUCAGUGGUGUAUUAUUGGUUUGCGCUUACGUGUUUGCUGUACGUUAUUUUCCCUGGUUGGGGGAGUUAUCGGUUUAUUGGUCACUUUCCCUGGUUGUUGGCUGGACCCAGCUGAAUAAAACGUAUUCAUUGGAUGCACUGCUCUCUGCGCCUGACUCCACACCCACCACUCCUAGCGAUCCGUGACAGUUCUGCCCGCUCUGACUCUGGUCCCAGUCUCCAGUCCCACGUCUCGUCGUCCUGCUACUCUGUCCUGGAUUCCCCACUCUACUGCUCCCUUGGAUUCCCCUCCGGACCUGCUUACCAUGUCUCAACCCCUCUCGCUCCAGCCUCAGCACCUGGUUCCCAGCAACCCACCUGACCUGCACUCCAUCUCCCCCUGUGUUUCAAUAAAUACCUUGGUUUACUUUA